rnacentral:rRNA from 1 species
UCUUUUAACACCCAGGUAGUUUUAAAAAAUUAAACCAAUUAAAUUUGGCGGUUGUCCCCCAUUAGAGAAACUUGUUUUAUAAUCGAUAACACCCGCUAAUUUUAACUCGUUUUUAAAGCCAAUAUACCUCCGUUUAAGAAAUAACUUUAUAUCAUACUCCAAACUAAAAUUUUUAUAAAAUCAGGUCAAGGUGUAGCCCAUAAACAAGCUAAAAUAAGUUACUCAUAAAAUAAAUUUUAGGCAUUUUUUCCAAAGAAAUCAACAAAAGAGAAUCUAAAAGCACACCUUAAUUAAAAUUUAAAGUAUAAAAACAACGUGACAAUGU